rnacentral:lncRNA from 1 species
CAUAAGUUGCUUCUGUCAUGCAUGGAAGACAAAGACGCCACCGACAGCAGCGACGCGCAUAGUGAGGUCAUUGCGUGGCAGGAUUUUGCUUUGAGUUGCUUCGAGGCAUCCAGUGUCGGUGUUUUCCGACUUCAUUGCCCUAUUUUUUAGUGACAAUCUGAACAUAUGUAGUUGAUUUACAUUAUUUGAUCGCCCUGUAAUAUUUUCUGUCAUGGUUACUACGAGCUUGAAUAUAGAAUAAGCAGCAUAUCUAUUUAAUAUAUGCAAU